rnacentral:rRNA from 1 species
GAUGAACGCUGGCGGCGUGCCUAAUACAUGCAAGUCGAGCGAACAGACGAGGAGCUUGCUCCUCUGACGUUAGCGGCGGACGGGUGAGUAACACGUGGAUAACCUACCUAUAAGACUGGGAUAACUUCGGGAAACCGGAGCUAAUACCGGAUAAUAUAUUGAACCGCAUGGUUCAAUAGUGAAAGACGGUUUUGCUGUGACUUAUAGAUGGAUCCGCGCCGCAUUAGCUAGUUGGUAAGGUAACGGCUUACCAAGGCAACGAUUCGUAGGCGACCUGACAGGGUGAUCGGCCCCACUCGAACUGAUACACGCUCCGAACUCCAACAUGAGCCAACACAAGCUACUCUUCCGCAAUGCGCGAAAGCCUCACAGAGCAACGCCGCGUGAGUUAUGAAAGUCUUCGGAUCGUAAAACUCUUUUAUUAGGGAAGACCAAAUGUGUAAGUAACUAUGCACGUCUUGACAGUACCUAAUCAGAAAGCCACAACUAACUACAUG